UACGUAGGUGGCAAGCGUUGUCCGGAUUUACUGGGCGUAAAGAGCGCGCAGGCGGUCGUUCAAGUCGCGUGUGAAAGCCCCCGGCUCAACUGGGGAGGGUCACGCGAUACUGAUCGACUCGAAGGCAGGAGAGGGAAGUGGAAUUCCCGGUGUAGUGGUGAAAUGCGUAGAGAUCGGGAGGAACACCAGUGGCGAAGGCGACUACCUGGCCUGUUCUUGACGCUGAGGCGCGAAAGCUAGGGGAGCAAACGGG
rnacentral:rRNA from 1 species